GAUGAACGCUGGCGGCGUGCCUAAUACAUGCAAGUCGAGCGAACAGACGAGGAGCUUGCUCCUCUGACGUUAGCGGCGGACGGGUGAGUAACACGUGGAUAACCUACCUAUAAGACUGGGAUAACUUCGGGAAACCGGAGCUAAUACCGGAUAAUAUAUUGAACCGCAUGGUUCAAUAGUGAAAGACGGUUUUGCUGUCACUUAUAGAUGGAUCCGCGCCGCAUUAGCUAGUUGGUAAGGUAACGGCUUACCAAGGCAACGAUGCGUAGCCGACCUGAGAGGGUGAUCGGCCCCACUGGAACUGGGACACGGUCCCGACUCCUACGGGAGGCAGCAGUAGGGAAUCUUCCGCAAUGGGCGGAAGCCUGACGGAGCAACGCCGCGUGAGUGAUGAAGGUCUUCGGAUCGUAAAACUCUGUUAUUAGGGAAGAACAAAUGUGUAAGUAACUAUGCACGUCUUGACGGUACCUAAUCAGAAAGCCACGGCUAACUACGUG
rnacentral:rRNA from 1 species